GAUGAAGAACGCAGCGAAAUGCGAUACGUAAUGUGAAUUGCAGAAUUCAGUGAAUCAUCGAAUCUUUGAACGCACAUUGCACUCUCUGGUAUUCCGGAGAGUAUGCUUGUUUGAGUAUCUGUAAACAUCUCAAAUCUCUCUUCGCUUGCGUCGAGAGAAUUGGAUUUGAGCAAUCCCGACUCCUUCGUCAGAAAGAGGAGGGUCGCUUGAAAUGCAGGUGCAGCUGGACAUUCUUCUGAGCUAAAAGCAUAUCUAUUUAGUCCCGUCAAACGGAUUAUUACUUUUGCUUCAGCUAAUAUAAAGGUCGAAUGAACUACCAACGCUGAUUGCAGGAAAACUUGUUCGUUUAUUCGGACUUGUAAACUCGAUCUCAAAUCAAGUAAGACUACCCGCUGAACUUAAGCAUAUCAAUAAGCGGAGGA
rnacentral:misc_RNA from 1 species